UCACUGGUCUUUCUCUGACGAA
rnacentral:miRNA from 1 species